rnacentral:rRNA from 1 species
UACGUAGGGUGCGAGCGUUAAUCGGAAUUACUGGGCGUAAAGCGUGCGCAGGCGGUUUUGUAAGCCAGAUGUGAAAUCCCCGGGCUUAACCUGGGAAUGGCAUUUGGGACUGCAAGGCUUGAGUGCGGCAGAGGAGACUGGAAUUCCUGGUGUAGCGGUGGAAUGCGCAGAUAUCAGGAGGAACACCGAUGGCGAAGGCAGAUCUCUGGGCCGUAACUGACGCUGAGGAGCGAAAGCGUGGGGAGCGAACAGG